UACGGAGGGGGCUAGCGUUGUCCGAAGUUACUGGGCGUAAAGCGCACGUAGGCGGAUUUGUAAGUCAGGGGUGAAAUCCCGGGGCUCAACCUCGGAACUGCCUUUGAUACUGCAAAUCUCGAGUCCGAUAGAGGUGGGUGGAAUUCCUAGUGUAGAGGUGAAAUUCGUAGAUAUUAGGAAGAACACCGGUGGCGAAGGCGGCCCACUGGAUCGGUACUGACGCUGAGGUGCGAAAGCGUGGGGAGCAAACAGG
rnacentral:rRNA from 1 species